GACGAACGCUGGCGGCGUGCUUAACACAUGCAAGUCAAACGGAAAGGCCCUGCUUUUGUGGGGUGCUCGAGUGGCGAACGGGUGAGUAACACGUGAGUAACCUGCCCUUGACUUUGGGAUAACUUCAGGAAACUGGGGCUAAUACCGGAUAGGAGCUCCUGCUGCAUGGUGGGGGUUGGAAAGUUUCGGCGGUUGGGGAUGGACUCGCGGCUUAUCAGCUUGUUGGUGGGGUAGUGGCUUACCAAGGCUUUGACGGGUAGCCGGCCUGAGAGGGUGACCGGCCACAUUGGGACUGAGAUACGGCCCAGACUCCUACGGGAGGCAGCAGUGGGGAAUAUUGCACAAUGGGCGGAAGCCUGAUGCAGCAACGCCGCGUGCGGGAUGACGGCCUUCGGGUUGUAAACCGCUUUCGCCUGUGACGAAGCGUGAGUGACGGUAAUGGGUAAAGAAGCACCGGCUAACUACGUG
rnacentral:rRNA from 1 species